rfam:Capsicum annuum cultivar Zunla-1 chromosome 10, whole genome shotgun sequence
UUGCCAAUACGGCAUCCCUACACAAAUUAGAACGACAUAGAAAAGAUUAGCAUAAUUCCUGCGCGGAAGUAACAAACAAAUCGAGAAAUGAUCCAAUUCUAG